UACGAAGGGGGCUAGCGUUGCUCGGAAUCACUGGGCGUAAAGGGAGCGUAGGCGGGUUUUUAAGUCAGGUGUUUAAUCCCGGGGCCUAACCCCGGACCGGCACUUGAAACUGGGAAUCUUGAAUAGGGGAGAGGUCAGUGGAAUUGGAGGUGUAGAGGUGAAAUUCGUAGAUAUUGGGAAGAACACCGGUGGCGAAGGCGGCUCUCUGGACCGAUACUGACGCUGAGGCGCGAAAGCGUGGGGAGCAAACAGG
rnacentral:rRNA from 1 species